GACGAACGCUGGCGGCGUGCUUAACACAUGCAAGUCGAACGGAAAGGCCCUGCUUUUGUGGGGUGCUCGAGUGGCGAACGGGUGAGUAAAACGUGAGUAACCUGCCCUUGACUUUGGGAUAACUUCAGGAAACUGGGGCUAAUACAGGAUAGGAGCUCCUGCUGCAUGGUGGGGGUUGGUAAGUUUCGGCGGUUGGGGCUGGGCUCGAGGCUUGUCAGCUUGUUGGUGGGGUAGUGGCUGACAAAGGCUUUGACGGGUAGCCGGCCUGAGAGGGUGACCGGCCACAUUGGGACUGAGAUACGGCCCAGACUCCUACGGGAGGCAGCAGUGGGGAAUAUUGCACAAUGGGCGGAAGCCUGAUGCAGCAACGCCGCGUGCGUUAUGACGGCCUUCGGGUUGUAAACCGCUUUCGCCUGUGACGAAGCGUGAUUGACGGUAAUGGGUAAAGAAGCACCGGCUAACUACGUG
rnacentral:rRNA from 1 species